AAGAGCCGAAUGAGGGGAGACCUUCACGUCCGGUUCGGAGGGCGGGGAUAUAUAUCCCGACCCUAC
rfam:Beta vulgaris subsp. vulgaris Bvchr3_un.sca004.con0014.1, whole genome shotgun sequence.